rnacentral:rRNA from 1 species
UUAGAUUCUUCGGAUGAAGAGGAUUGUGACUGAGCGGCGGACGGGUGAGUAACGCGUGGGUAACCUGCCUCAUACAGGGGGAUAACAGUUAGAAAUGACUGCUAAUACCGCAUAAGACCACAGCACCGCAUGGUACGGUGUGAAAAACUCCGGUGGUAUGAGAUGGACCCGCGUCUGAUUAGCUUGUUGGCGGGGUAACGGCCCACCAAGGCGACGAUCAGUAGCCGACCUGAGAGGGUGACCGGCCACAUUGGGACUGAGACACGGCCCAAACUCC